GAUGAACGCUGGCGGCGUGCCUAAUAUAUGCAAGUCGAGCGAACAGAUGAGGAGCUUGCUCCUCUGACGUUAGCGGCGGACGGGUGAGUAACACGUGGAUAACCUACCUAUAAGACUGGGAUAACUUCGGGAAACCGGAGCUAAUACCGGAUAAUAUAUUGAACCGCAUGGUUCAAUAGUGAAAGACGGUUUUGCUGUCACUUAUAGAUGGAUCCGCGCCGCAUUAGCUAGUUGGUAAGGUAACGGCUUACCAAGGCAACGAUGCGUAGCUGACCUGAGAGGGUGAUCGGCCACACUGGAACUGAGACACGGUCCAGACUCCUACGGGAGGCAGCAGUAGGGAAUCUUCCGCAAUGGGCGAAAGCCUGACGGAGCAACGCCGCGUGAGUGAUGAAGGUCUUCGGAUCGUAAAACUCUGUUAUUAGGGAAGAACAAAUGUGUAAGUAACUAUGCACGUCUUGACGGUACCUAAUCAGAAAGCCACGGCUAACUACGUG
rnacentral:rRNA from 1 species